GCUCCUUUGACGUUAGCGGCGGACGGGUGAGUAACACGUGGAUAACCUACCUAUAAGACUGGGAUAACUUCGGGAAACCGGAGCUAAUACCGGAUAAGAUUUUGAACCGCAUGGUUCAAUAGUGAAAGACGGCCUUGCUGUCACUUAUAGAUGGAUCCGCGCCGUAUUAGCUAGUUGGUAAGGUAACGGCUUACCAAGGCAACGAUACGUAGCCGACCUGAGAGGGUGAUCGGCCACACUGGAACUGAGACACGGUCCAGACUCCUACGGGAGGCAGCAGUAGGGAAUCUUCCGCAAUGGGCGAAAGCCUGACGGAGCAACGCCGCGUGAGUGAUGAAGGUCUUCGGAUCGUAAAACUCUGUUAUCAGGGAAGAACAAACGUGUAAGUAACUGUGCACGUCUUGACGGUACCUGAUCAGAAAGCCACGGCUAACUACGUGCCAGCAGCCGCGGUAAUACGUAGGUGGCAAGCGUUAUCCGGAAUUAUUGGGCGUAAAGCGCGCGUAGGCGGUUUUUUAAGU
rnacentral:rRNA from 1 species